rnacentral:lncRNA from 1 species
ACCCCCCUCCCCCAUCAUCGUCCAUCCCGUUCACCCCUCAUUAGAGAGGAGUUUUAGAACCCUAGCCAACCGCCGCCAUUCCCCAUCACCUCCUGUGGCGGCACCACCCCCAAAUCCCACCAAACUAAUACCUUGUAACUCCCAUGAUCCCCACAUACCAAAUCCGUAACGAUCUCCCUUCGAAUCUGCCUAGAACCUCUUGAAUCUUAGAUCGAAGGUGGAGCCCUAAUUCCAAAAAAGCUGUAGUUCGGGUCUGUUUUGAGGGUUUGAGGCUCACCUUGCUAUUAUUCAUACGUUCUUGUUAAGAACGCCUGAUUAAAAUCAUAGUGGGUCAAAAAUCCAAAGGUUGAAAGCUUCAGGCUUCAUUCAUCAGGUCAAUUAGUCAUCCGUAGGUAUUUCCUCUAUCUUUUCUAGUUUUAUUUACACUUUGGUUUGAUUUUAUUAUUUUUCUGCUUCUUCUCGACUUCUCAACCCCUCUGUAUUUUUGUUUCCUGGAUUUCUUAUGCAUGCUAAUUUUAGGUUAGUGUUUUAAUUUGUCUUGGUUUGUCAAUUGCUUUAAUCCGGAGUCAUUAGUUUGGUUAAUUAGUCAAUAAGUCAUUUUAGAGUUCAUAAUGGGCUACAUUUGAUUCAAUUGAUGGAGAGUAGUCCGUUCGUAUUACAUUGGGCCAUUGGGUCAUCACGACCCAAGUAAUUGGUUGGGAGUAAUUUAAGGGAGUGUGUGGGGUAGUUUAGGAAUUUGGUUUAGAAAAUCUCAGUUGUAAUAGAAAAUAGAAUCUUCUCAGAAGCUGGUUGAGGGACUGAAGUGAAUUAGGACCUUUAAGUUGGGAAUUUUGGAGGAAAACACAAAGAUUGGCUAAGGUCAAUAGGAAAAAAUAAAAAUUCAAAAAGGGCAAUAGUGCAAAACUGAAACUUGUAGUUUUACCCUAAUUUCCUUGCCUAUAAAGGAACCUUGACUUGCCUUGUAAGGAGGAGGACCGAGAGAAUGAAGAGUUAAAAAAAUCAGAUUUUAGAAAAUACAAACGGCAAAAGUUUUCUGUUGUUUCAUUGAAUUCCAUUGAUCUCGUGAUUCCUUUCAAAGUCUGAAAAUAGUAUUUCUUCAUUGAUGAAAUUAAAAUUAUUUGAACUUGGUUUAAAAUUUUGGUUCUUAGUUUGCUAGGUUCUGGUUCGACUGAAACAUUCUCUCUGGGAUUACUGCAUAUCAUUUGGGAUUGGGAGUUGAUUUCCUUGGUUAUUUAUAUUGUUAUAUUGUUGCUCAACCACUAAUUCCUUAUUUCUUUAUUCCCUUUUGAUCUCCAGGUAAACCUAUAAGCUAUGGAGAGCCAGUGAUUGUAGAGUCUCGUGUUCGAAUGAAAUUUUAAAAGAAUGUGAAGCUGCUUUGAACCUUGUUCUUUCCAUUUUUUUAUAUAUGUAAUAAAUAUGAAGCUUAGUAUUAUAGAUGAACUAGUAUCAUUUGAAAGUGUGAAUGUUAGAUUAUGAGAGGUUUUGCACUGUGAAAAGCAUGAAGAAUUUUGAUUGGCUAAACUUGUUGAUUAAAGCUAAUUGAAGCUUUGUUUUAUAUUAUUUCCUAAGAAGUGAAUUGGUUGUGUAUAAAUAGCUAUGAUGAAAGUUUGAAGCUAAGCUAGUUGUGAUUUCCAGUUUAUUUAGACUGUUGAGUCACGUGAGAUUACAAUGUAGAUCUCCUACCAAGUGGAAGCUAGGUGCAUUUUUCAUGUUAGGGGUUUGGCAUUAGCUCUAAUUGCUUGGCUUGGUUAAGUAGAAGUACUGAUUAUAUUUAUGCAUGUAAAUCAGCUCAUGCGAAUCUGGCAUCAGCCGUCGAUUGUGUGUCGUUUUUCUGCCUUUGAAUUUGAAGGUUGAAUGUUAAUUUUAAGUUAAAAUUCUAAGUAUGAAGGGUCAUAAGACACUGUUGGAUUUCUGUAUCAUGGUGAAUCAACUGAUGUGAGCAUUUAACUUGAACAAAUUAGGUGAUAAUCUCAAAAAUGGUUGUCGUAUGGCUACUGUAAUUUAGAUUAGAUAUGUAUUGAUGUUUGGGUUAUAGCGUUUGCAUGGAAGAUGUUGGUAAGUUUGUCAAAUCAGAAAUAGUUUAAUCCCCUAAGGCAAAGUAACAUGGGCUGUGGAAUAGAAUGCAAAGGAUUGAUUCCUUGUUUUGAGAUGUGGGCUCGAACCAAGGACCCAUUUCUUACUGAAGCUGAUCUAGCUUCAACUUGGGCUCCCUCGUGGUACUUAGCUUAGAUUGAUGUGAUUUAUAAUCCAAAAUGGCACUACAUCUACAGGCUACUAGGCCUCAAGUUGGGCCCAACUUUAAAUUCAAACCAAGGACUUU